rnacentral:rRNA from 1 species
GGAGUUAGCCGGUGCUUCUUCUGCGAGUAACGUCACAGCUAGCAGGUAUUAACUACUAACCUUUCCUCCUCGCUGAAAGUGCUUUACAACCCGAAGGCCUUCUUCACACACGCGGCAUGGCUGCAUCAGGGUUUCCCCCAUUGUGCAAUAUUCCCCACUGCUGCCUCCCGUAGGAGUCUGGGCCGUGUCUCAGUCCCAGUGUGGCUGAUCAUCCUCUCAGACCAGCUAGGGAUCGUUGCCUAGGUGAGCCAUUACCUCACCUACUAGCUAAUCCCACCUGGGCUUAUCCAUCAACGCAAGGACCGAAGUUCCCCUGCUUUCCCCCGUAGGGCGUAUGCGGUAUUAGCAGUCGUUUCCAACUGUUAUCCCCCACAAAUGGGCAAAUUCCCAGGCAUUACUCACCCGUCCGCCGCUCGUCAUCUUCAAAAGCAAGCUUUUGAAAUGUUACCGCUCGACUUGCAUGUGUUAGGCCUGCCGCCAGCGUUCAAUCUGAGCCAGGAUCAAACUCUGA